ACGAACGCUGGCGGCGUGCUUAACACAUGCAAGUCGAACGGAAAGGCCCUGCUUUUGUGGGGUGCUCGAGUGGCGAACGGGUGAGUAACACGUGAGUAACCUGCCCUUGACUUUGGGAUAACUUCAGGAAACUGGGGCUAAUACCGGAUAGGAGCUCCUGCUGCAUGGUGGGGGUUGGAAAGUUUCGGCGGUUGGGGAUGGACUCGCGGCUUAUCAGCUUGUUGAUGGGGUAGUGGCUUACCAAGGCUUUGACGGGUAGCCGGCCUGAGAGGGUGACCGGCCACAUUGGGACUGAGAUACGGCCCAGACUCCUACGGGAGGCAGCAGUGGGGAAUAUUGCACAAUGGGCGGAAGCCUGAUGCAGCAACGCCGCGUGCGGGAUGACGGCCUUCGGGUUGUAAACCGCUUUCGCCUGUGACGAAGCGUGAGUGACGGUAAUGGGUAAAGAAGCACCGGCUAACUACGUG
rnacentral:rRNA from 1 species